UACAGAGGUCCCAAGCGUUACUGAGAAUCACUGGGUUUAAAGGGUGCGUAGGUGGUCCGUUAAGUCAGUUGUGAAAUCCCCGGGCUCAACCCGGGAAAUGCUUCUGAUACUGGCGGACUUGAGGCCAGUAGGGGUCACUAGAACUGACGGUGGAGCGGUGAAAUGCGCAGAUAUCGGGAGGAACACCAAUGGCGAAGGCAGCUCGCUGGGACGUUACUGACGCUGAGACGCGAAAGCGUGGGGAGCAAACAGG
rnacentral:rRNA from 1 species